GCGUGCGAGGUGCCAAGCAUG
rnacentral:miRNA from 1 species